AAGGCCUUGGCUUAAUAAAAGUAUCUGAUCUGCACUCAGAAGAUGUGAGUUGAUAUCUUACAGGUCUUA
rnacentral:tRNA from 1 species